rnacentral:rRNA from 1 species
CAAAGCGAGGUACCAGCCGCAUUGGAAAAACCGUGCGGCAAUGGGAAGACGUGAUGCGGAGUGAAGUUUAGUAUGAAGUCCGUGAGCUGUGUGUCAAGAAAAGCCGCUAUUGUUCAUACCAUACCCGUACCGUAAACCGACACAGGUGGAUGAGGAGAGAAUCCUAAGGCCGGCGGAAGAAGCAUUGUCAAGGAACUCGGCAAAAUGACCCCGUAGCUUCGGGAGAAGGGGUGCCUGCGAGAGCAGGCCGCAGAGAAUAGGCUCAAGCAACUGUUUAGCAAAAACACAGGUCUAUGCGAAACCGAAAGGUGAGGUAUAUGGGCUGACGCCUGCCCGGUGCUGGAAGGUUAAGAGGAGAGGUUAGCGGUAACGCGAAGCUUUGAAUUUAAGCCCCAGUAAACGGCGGCCGUAACGAUAACGGUCCUAAGGUAGCGAAAUUCCUUGUCGGGUAAGUUCCGACCCGCACGAAAGGCGUAAUGAUUUGAGCGCUGUCUCGACAAUGCAUCCGAUGAAAUUGAAGUACCAGUGAAGAUGCUGGUUACCUGCGCCAGGACGGAAAGACCCCAUGGAGCUUUACUCCAGUUUGGUACUGGGAUCCGGUACUGCAUGUACAGGAUAGGUGGGAGGCUGAGAAUCGGUAACGCCAGUUGCCGAGGAGCCGCUGUUGGGAUACCACCCUUGCAGUAUUGGGUUUCUAACCAGCCGCCGUAACCCGGCGGUGGGACAAUGCCAGACGGGGAGUUUGACUGGGGCGGUCGCCUCCGAAAGGGUAUCGGAGGCGCCCAAAGGUUCCCUCAGGAUGGACGGAAACCAUCCAAAGAGUGCAAAGGCAGAAGGGAGCUUGACUGCGACACCGACGGGUGGAGCAGGUACGAAAGUAGGGCUUAGUGAUCCGGUGGUAUUAAGUGGGAAUGCCAUCGCUCAACGGAUAAAAGCUACCCUGGGAUAACAGGCUUAUCACUCCCAAGAGUUCACUUCGACGGAGUGGUUUGGCAUCGAUGUCGGCUCAUCGCAUCCUGGGGCUGUAGUAGGUCCCAAGGGUUGGGCUGUUCGCCCAUUAAAGCGGUACGCGAGCUGGGUUCAGAACGUCGUGAGACAGUUCGGUCCCUAUCCGGCGUGGGCGUAGGAUAUCUGAGAGGAGCUGUCCUUAGUACGAGAGGACCGGGAUGGACGGGCUGCUGGUGCACCGGUUAGACUGCCAAGUCUAUAGCCGGGUAGCCAAGCCCGGAAGGGAUAAACGCUGAAGGCGUCUAAGCGUGAAGCCCCCCUCAAGAUGAGAUAUCCCAUCCGAAAGGAGUAAACCCCCUUGAAGACGACGAGGUUGAUAGGGCCGGGGUGGAAGUGUGGUAACACAUGGAGCUGACUGCUACUAAUAGGGUGAGGGCUUGACU